GAAUGAAGGAAGCAACACAAUGAGCACAGAAAUUGGAUCGCGUCCCUAGGCUUGCCCCCUCUGGUGCCUUCCGGCUUUGUUUUAAGGGCAUGGUUUUACGACAUAGCG